rnacentral:rRNA from 1 species
UCCAGACUCCUACGGGAGGCAGCAGUGAGGAAUAUUGGUCAAUGGCCGAGAGGCUGAACCAGCCAAGUCGCGUGAGGGAAGACGGCCCUACGGGUUGUAAACCUCUUUUGCCGGGGAGCAAAGUGCUGCACGUGUGCGGUUUGGAGAGUACCCGGAGAAAAAGCAUCGGCUAACUCCGUGCCAGCAGCCGCGGUAAUACGGAGGAUGCGAGCGUUAUCCGGAUUUAUUGGGUUUAAAGGGUGCGUAGGCGGAAUAUCAAGUCAGCGGUAAAAAUUCGGGGCUCAACCCCGUCGUGCCGUUGAAACUGAUGUUCUUGAGUGGGCGAGAAGUAUGCGGAAUGCGUGGUGUAGCGGUGAAAUGCAUAGAUAUCGCGCAGAACUCCGAUUGCGAAGGCAGCAUGCCGGCUCCACACUGACGCUGGGGCACGAAAGCGUGGGUAUCGAACAGGAUUAGAUACCCGUGUA